rnacentral:rRNA from 1 species
UACGUAGGCAGCGAGCGUUGUUCGGAGUUACUGGGCGUAAAGGGUGUGUAGGCGGUUGUUUAAGUUUGGUGUGAAAUCUCCCGGCUCAACUGGGAGGGUGCGCCGAAUACUGAAUGACUUCGAGUGCGGGAGAGGUGAGUGGAAUUCCUGGUGUAGCGGUGAAAUGCGUAGAUAUCAGGAGGAACACCGGUGGUGUAGACGGCUCACUGGACCGUAACUGACGCUGAGACACGAAGGCGUGGGGAGCGAACGGG